AAUGUCAAGGGUUGAUGGACACCCAGAGUGAUGCCACUUCUCCUCACUGGAGGCUUGCGGCUUUGGGAAGAACACCGGUCUAGGAAGAGCUGGAUAUGGAUGCAUGAAUGUGCUAACAUCUGGAGAAUGAUGGGAAACCAGAAUUGUCUAUGCCACCUGGGAACAAAUUAGAAUCACCAAUGCUCCCUCUUGCUUGUUCUCUCUUAGAAUCUAAAGUAAAAGUGGAAUAGGUGGGAAGGCUUAUGUUAGUUGCCCUGACAAUAGAACCAGACAUGUGUCUCCUCUACAGCCCUGACCUUGAGAUCCCCUGGAACAGAAGGCUGGACAUUUCUUGUUCUCCUGAGAUGUAAACAAGACCCAAGAUGGAAACCUCCAUUGUCCAAGUACAUUCUGAACCACCAAAUUGCAUAUUUCCCAUUCAUGGUCCCAGGCAAGUGCCUGCUGAGGCUGUCUGAUAACUUAUAUAUCCCUGUUAGAUGCAUUGCUGAGAUGACCAUCUGGUGAUAAAUAUAUCAGUUUGAAAGACUGACUGCUUGUAUACAAAGAUGGGUGAACCUUGCUUCCCCUUGUUUGUUCAUGUAGAACACUGCUGUCACAUUGUUUGACUUGACUUGGAUAUCAGGAUUCGAAUGAACAGAAGAAAUCAUCUGUAGGCCUUGUGAACUGCUAUAGCUCCAGGAGAUUUAUGUACAAUUGGGACUCUUGUGGGGGAGAGAUUCAUGUAACUUGGGCUACAUGUUUAUCUAGGCAGGCUUUCCAUACUACUAAAGAAGCAUCUAUGAUCAGUCUCUUUGCAGGUGGAGGAGGUACAAAGGGCUCCCACAAGCACACACAGCCUCCUUGUUCUCCCACCAUGAGAGGGAAGCUUGCACUCUUGGGGGGAGCAAGACUAAUUUGUCUAGAAUGUGUUUGCUCAGCAUACAGAAUGCCCUUAACCAAGGCUGCAGACAUCGAUGGUGAAGUCUCAUGAAGGAUAUCACAUAAGUAACUGAAGCCAUAUGUCUUAGACAGAUGAGGCACGUGCAAACUGAUGUCUAUGGACUCAGCUGAAGCUGAGUGACUAGAUCCUUUAUGGACUAGAGUCUGUCCUGAAGUCCCAAUGAACACAGAAGAUUAAGUACCAUGUUGCUGAGACAGGGAAAAAGCUGAUGAGUCCCGGUGGCAGAAGUGGGCUACCACUUUCAACAACACUUUUGUGAAUAAACGUGCAACUGUCACAAAGUCAAAGGGGAGCACUCUGUAUUGAUUAUGAUCUACAGUGAAUCUCAGGAGUCUUCUGUGUGCAAGAUGGAUGUAGGCAUCCUUUAAAUUGACAACUGAGAACCAACUGCCAUUGUUCAGUGAGGGAGUUAUUGAGGCCAGGGUGACCAUCCUGAACUUCAAUCGUUGGAUGAAAACAUUCAACCAUAUGAGAU